rnacentral:lncRNA from 1 species
UGCCUCCACACCUGGCCACCUGGGAGGUGAGAGAUGCAUUUUCAAAGAGAAGAAGUCUCCAUUAAGGGUGGACUCUCACCGCAUGCCGUCAAGAUCAGCCUUGAAUGUGGACAGGCUCUGUGACCUACUUUGGCCCACAGAAGGCUCCAGAAGGGAUUGUGAGCCAGCUCCUAUCUGCUCCUGCUCCUGCGUGCACACUUGCAGCCACCCGGUGAACAAGCCCAGGCCAGUUUUCUGCACCACAAGCCACCCCACAGGAAAACAGCCAUUCUGAAUCAGCCAGCCCCCUGCACUCUGUAGCUGACCACAGGUGCAUGACCUAAUGUAGCCAAGGUCAGUCUGGCCUGGCCAAGGUCACAAGUAUUUCUCUCAGUCAAGCAAGCUCUCAUGAGCAAUAAUAACAGUUGCUCUAAGCCACUAGAUUUUGGAAUGGUUUCUUAUGCAUCAACAGAUAACUGAAAGAGCUCCUUCCUGAUUGAAUUUACAGUAAUGCAGUUCUCACACUCUAAAUCAGCAGUGCAGAGAGGCCGAGACAAAAAG